rnacentral:rRNA from 1 species
CAGUCGCCGCGGGAAUACGGUGGGUGCAAGCGUUAAUCGGAAUUACUGGGCGUAAAGGGCGCGUAGGCGGCGAUCAAAGUCAGGCGUGAAAUUCCUGGGCUCAACCUGGGGGGUGCGUUUGAUACUUGAUUGCUAGAGUGGGGAAGAGGGUCGUGGAAUUCCCAGUGUAGAGGUGAAAUUCGUAGAUAUUGGGAAGAACACCGGUGGCGAAGGCGGCGACCUGGUCCUCGACUGACGCUGAGGCGCGAAAGCGUGGGGAGCAAACAGGAUUAGAUACCCCUGUAGUCCCUGUUCUUAUACA